AAUGAACGCUGGCGGCAGGCCUCACACAUGCAAGUCGAACGGCAGCGGGGGGAAGCUUGCUUCCCCGCCGGCGAGUGGCGGACGGGUGAGUAAUGCCUGGGGAGCUGCCCCAUCGAGGGGGAUACCAGUUGGAAACGACUGCUAAUACCGCAUACGCCUCGAGGGGGAAAGAUGGGGAUUUUUGGACCUAUCGCGAUUGGAUGCACCCCGGUGGGAUUAGCUAGUUGGUGAGGUAACGGCUCACCAAGGCGACGAUCUCUAGCUGGUUUGAGAGGAUGACCAGCCCCCCUGGAACUGAGACCCGGUCCCGACUCCUACGGGAGGCAGCAGUGGGGAAUAUUGCCCAAUGGGGGAAACCCUGAUGCAGCCCUGCCGCGUGUGUGAAGAAGGCCUUCGGGUUGUAAAGCCCUUUCAGUCAGGAGGAAAGGUGGCUAGCUAAUACCUUGGUUCUGUGACGUUACUGGCAGAAGAAGCACCGGCUAACUCCGUG
rnacentral:rRNA from 1 species